rnacentral:rRNA from 1 species
AACCUCACUGCUCUCUCGCUUCCCACUUGGGCAAUCCAGAAGCUCAGUAAGAUCACUCGUAACUUCAUCUGGUGUGGGAAAGACUCAGAAAACACGUCUGGCGGACACUCUCUGGUCAACUAGAAGACUGUCUGCCGGCCUAAGCCCAUGGGGGGCCUGGGAAUCAUAGACCUCGAGAGAUUUGGUUGGGCGCUCCGACUUCGCCCUUGGCUUAUGUGGACUGAUCCUGACCGCCAAUGGGUGGGCUCUGCGGUGCCCUGCAAUGAGACGGAUAUGGCGCUCUUCAGGGAUUCUACCACCAUCUCCUUGGGCAAUGGGAGAAAAUCCUUAUUCUGGCACGACGACUGGACAUGACGGGGCCCUCUGUCCCGGGCCUUCCCGGAGCUAUACAAAAUUGCCACCAGGAAGCGGAGAACUGUGAUGAAGGAGCUCCAGGAGGAGAACUGGAUCAGAUCGGUAGCCCGUCUUUCAUCGCCUACCCACAUGCAAGAGUUCAUUGCCCUCGCAUCAGCCAUCUCUUAGGUUGCGUUGAACGACCAGGAGGACUCCACUUGGCGGUGGACCCCCAAUGGUGUAUACUCUGCUGCUUCGGCCUACGCGGCCCAGUUCUCUGGAUCCUAUCCUAGGUUCUGCCCAGCCAAGAUUUGGGAGGCACAUGCUGAGCCAAAAUGCAAGUUCUUCGCCUGGCUUGUGCUCCACGGGAAAAUCCUCACGGCUGACAUGCUAGCCGUUCGUGGCUGGCCGCACGACCCUUGUUGUCCCCUUUGCCUUGGGGCACCGGAGACGGCCACUCAUCUCUGCAAGGACUGCCCGUUUUCCACCGCAGUUUGGUCUCACGUCCAGGUGUGGACGGGAGAGGACUCUGGGGCCACGCCCAUGUUGCCCCCUUCGAUGGGGAUUUCAGACUGGUGGGAUUCGCUCACCACCAAUUUGCCCAAGGACGACAUAAGAAGGCGGAGCGGCCGCUUCAUUUACACCAUCUGA